AUGCAGACAGUGGACCCCAGAGGGCAGGUUCCUGGAUUUUUCACGCACUACUUUGUGGAGCUACUUCCUUCCCUUCUCUUGGCUGCUUUCCAAAAGCAGAGAUUGCCUGAGGAUGCCACUGCCUCCCUCCUCAGCUGCCCUCCUUCAAACCAGCUCUCCACCCAACAGCGAAUGCCAAGCGGACUCCUCAAAGCUGCAGGGCGCUGCUCCCUGGAAGCCACUGCCGCACUGUGUCCCAUGGAGGGUGCCAAGGACAGUGUAAUGGCUAAGCCCCUGGGCAUAUGAAAUGACUCCCUUAAGAUCUCCUCUUUGCCAGUCUGACCCAGAGAACAACCGAGCCCUGCCUUCCAAGUCCUCUGUGACAUGACAGACCUGAGUGCACUGGGUCCCUGGAUAGUAUCUUCUCUGUUCGCUCAUGAAGACAGGGGCCUCUUUUCCCUAUCGAUCUCUGUCUUGUUCACCAGUUGAGAAAAUCCAGGUCCACAAGAUGGAUGUGGCCCCACCCAAGGUCACUUGGCAAGGGAGUUGCAGGUAUUGGACUAAAUCAGAUGCUGAAACAGAGUCCAACUUUCUUUCUACUAAAUCACUCUGCCUUCGAACUCCUGCUGUCUUUAUUUGGAUGUGCCAGCUUUGGUUAGAGACGAGGUUUUCAGUUUUCCUUCGGGCUUUUUAAGAAGCAGCAAGAUCAAGGAGAAUAAAAAACCACAUCCUCUCUAUGGGCAACUGCAUGGAGGCAAGACUCACAUCUCUGUCUUCAGCCAUCAGAUUCCUUGAGUAUAACACUGGAACUGGUGUGGGAAAGGUGUUCGAAACAUAUUUGUUGAAAAAUGAGUGAGUCUCUGUGUGGAGUGGUGGAGAAUGGGGGACAUUGAUAGAGAAACACCUCCCGGGAGAAGGUGUGAAUGUGAAAUAAAAAAAAAGAUUCAAAAAGGUAUGGCACAUGACAGGUACUCAAAAUAUGUGGUGAAGAAAAGAAUCCAGCAAGUUUCAUAAAGGAGAGUGUGGGAAAAUGUUAUAGAGAUUGGCAGUCUCCUUGGAAAACUACAAACUCAAGAUCUCAGUCUGAAGAUAUGGGGUUCUUGGGACAAUGUAUCCAUUCAUGGGUCCAUCCAUUCAUUCAUUCAUGAAUUCAAAAACACUGAGUACAAGCUAUGUACCUGGCAUUGGUUCAAGGAUUAUGCAUUCAGAAAUCAAUGACCAGUAACUCCUCAAGGAUGAAAAUAAACCUAGCAACCAUCAUUUAAUGUACUAAGGGCUAUGGCAGAAGCAUUUUGCUAAGUGCCAUAAAUCGCAGACUUGAGACGCACUUAGUCCACCAUCCAAGGUGGACUGGAUGAGGCGGGUGGAGAAACAAUCAGCCUGCAGUGGGUAGUUGGGUGGAAAAGAUGAAUGAAGUUCUUGGCGACAGAGAGAACAGCACACCUAGACACUGGCAGACAGCAGAGCUCUCACGUAUUUGGAAGGUACUGGAUACAGCUGGAAAGUCAGGAGUGAGAGGUGAGGCUGGCAGGAUGAUAGCAAUCAGACUUUAAGUGGGGGCUUCACAAACUUUAGUGCAUGUGAACUACACAGCGAACUGGUUAAAAUGCAGAUUCAGUCAAUCCGGGAGGGGAUGGAAAACUGAACUCUCUAACAAGCUGCAAGGGCAGCCGGUCGGUCCCUGGACAACCUUAUAGGAAGCAAGGCUAUAAGCAGUGGGGCGCAAUGGAACUAUUUCACUGAAAAGUGACAUUCUCAGAAUUGCAUUUUCCCAAGAACCCUAUAGCAGAGUAUGGAGAACAGAAUGGAGGGAGGCGGUGGCUGGGGUGAAACACAGAAGUGGCAAGAAAUUUUCAGCAUCUGAAAGAAAUAAAGUUCAGGAAAGAAAAAAGCAGUAAAGGAAAGAACUGUCAACGUUCAAACAAACAGGUGUAAAUUGACUGAUAUUUUAUGGACUCACUAUAAAACAUUUCUCCUAGAGAAAGAGUUGCUUAUGAGGACAAAAAUGAAACAAUAAAAACAUAAGAGGCAAAAAAAUAAAUCAUAGAAACAUGCUGUGUGUAGUGUUAUUUGAAUAAGCCUUGACUGACUGGCCCCUGCCAACCCAGACCCCCGCUUUGGGUCUCAGUGGACGCACCAUCUCAAGUUCCAGUAAGGACUGAAAAAGCAACCAGCUAAAGGGAGCAAGGCUUCCCAGGUGGCUCAGUGGUAAAGAAUCAGCCUGCCGAUGCAGGAGACAAGAGUUCGAUCCCGGGGUUGGGAAGAUCCUCUAGAGAGGGAAAUGGCAACCCACUCCAGUAUUCUUGCCUGGGAAAUCCCAUGGACAGAGGAGCCCGGCAGGCUACCCUCCAUGGGGUGGCAAAGAGUUGGAGACGACUUAGUGACUAAACAACAACAAGGGAAACAGGAUCCUGUAGACGGUAAUCACAAGAGAGCAAAUAAAAUUAGCCUUCUCAGCCAUCACUUGAGAGGCACUUGCAUCUAGCUUCAGGAAGCUUCAGGAAGAACAAUUGAUUCACAGCAAGUUCUGGAAAAUAACACGGCAGUCCACCAGAUCCUGAACACAGUGCUUGUUCAUUUCUCAUAACUCAAAGGCACUCCAAAUUAGAAACACCUAUUUAUAUUUCUGUCAGAAAAUCCCCUAGGACAUCUUUAACUGAAAGGAACAAAACUCAGAAAGGACUUAAAAAAAAAAAAAAGAAAAAUCUAAGGAGGGGCCUGUCUUACUGAAAAGGAAAGGCAGGUGGUAAACAUUUUUACUUUAUACUGAAGCCUCCAAAUGCAACUUCUCAUGAGAUUUCCCUCCAAAGGGAAGAAGACUCAGCUUCGUGUUCUAGGUAUUCUGCUGGGUGGCAUUCUUUAUCCAAAGAUGCACAAAUUCAAAAUCCCCAAAGGUCUUCUCCCCUCUCACUCUUUUCCCCCCACAUUCCUGUAAAUGAAUAAGCCUCAACCAGAUACACAGGUUGAAAACACACAGCCUACAAGAAAAGCCAUGUGAACACACAAUUCAGAACAGCCUGGUUCACAGUCAACAGGACAAAAGAAAAAUCCUCACAGGAACCCACCUUUCUCUUCUGUGCUUUGCAGGCUUCUGAAAUUUAAUCCUGUAUUGGGAGGCCCCAAAGAACCACUUUGGGAAGGUGGAACUGAAGGGCCGUGGGAGGGUGGGGUUUUCCCAGGACCAGACUCCAGCUCCUCAGACUCACGGGGACCUCAGAGCAGAGGUGAACUGCCGUCUAGUGUCUGCUGCAGGAAGAAGCCGACGGACUCAGUGUGGCUGGAGGUGGGGGCGGAGGCUGGGGGAAGGGAAGUUAUACAGGAGCCCGUGUUAAAUCUCUUCACGAUUUCCUGUAUUGGGUGCUGGUUGCUUCUCUCCAGGCUCCCUGGAGGAAAUAAGGCAUUUAAACGUGUCCUUUGGCCACUGGCAAGAAGAGAAUAAACAUGCUAAGAAUCGUGGCAAUGAGAAUUUGCAGGACUGGUGGGCCAGCUAGCUUAACCUUGCACCAAGUGCUUUCUUCCUGAAGUUUCUCCAAGUGUUUAACUCUGCAAAAGUCAAGAACGUCCUCAUCCUCUUGUAGGGAGCUGAAGAAUUUUCUGGCUGUACUCCAGAUGCCGUGGUGUGGGGCCAUUGGUCAGAGGCGGGCGGAACAGGCCUGGGAAGGGUCGGCUUGCCAGUGAG
rnacentral:lncRNA from 1 species